CGUAGCGCAGCCUGGUAGCGCAUCACACUGGGGGUGUGGGGGUCGGAGGUUCGAAUCCUCUCG
rnacentral:tRNA from 1 species